rnacentral:rRNA from 1 species
GGGGCGAGCGUUGUUCGGAAUUACUGGGCGUAAAGGGCGCGUAGGCGGCCUUCUAAGUCGAACGUGAAAUCCCCGGGCUCAACCCGGGAACUGCGUCCGAUACUGGGAGGCUUGAAUCCGGGAGAGGGAUGUGGAAUUCCAGGUGUAGCGGUGAAAUGCGUAGAUAUCUGGAGGAACACCGGUGGCGAAGGCGGCAUCCUGGACCGGUAUUGACGCUGAGGCGCGAAAGCCAGGGGAGCAAACGGG